rnacentral:misc_RNA from 1 species
GGUUGCUGGUAACUCUGGGUAACCAUUUUUGUACAUAAUACUAUGGUUGUUUUGGAUGUAAGGCUUCCAGAUAGAGAGGGAGGUAGACAAUAUGUUUAUCUGCUGCUUCAUUAGGCACUGCUUGAAAUUAAGCAGUUUGGAAAAGUGGCGGGCAUAGGUGUUCAGAAGGAGUAGGCAUACAAUAGUAUAGCAUAUUGGUUUAUGAUCACGCUUGUUAGGGAACAAUUUUUUUUCAUUUGUGUCUCCACGGCUUAUUUUCCC